AUUGAACGCUGGCGGCAUGCCUUACACAUGCAAGUCGAACGGCAGCACGGGUGCUUGCACCUGGUGGCGAGUGGCGAGCGGGUGAGUAAUACAUCGGAACAUGUCCUGUAGUGGGGGAUAGCCCGGCGAAAGCCGGAUUAAUACCGCAUACGAUCCACGGAUGAAAGCGGGGGACCUUCGGGCCUCGCGCUAUAGGGUUGGCCGAUGGCUGAUUAGCUAGUUGGUGGGGUAAAGGCCUACCAAGGCGACGAUCAGUAGCUGGUCUGAGAGGACGACCAGCCACACUGGAACUGAGACACGGCCCAGACUCCUACGGGAGGCAGCAGUGGGGAAUUUUGGACAAUGGGCGAAAGCCUGAUCCAGCAAUGCCGCGUGUGUGAAGAAGGCCUUCGGGUUGUAAAGCACUUUUGUCCGGAAAGAAAUCCUUGACUCUAAUACAGUCGGGGGAUGACGGUACCGGAAGAAUAAGCACCGGCUAACUACGUG
rnacentral:rRNA from 1 species